AAUCACCAUGAGGGCAUGGCCAUGCUCCAGUCUGUACUGGUGCCCAGCCGCCACAUCAACCUACCCGCUGCCACGUCCGUCAAACCUAUCGCCUGCACAGCAAAGCGGUCUCCUGCAGAAGAGCUCGCCUCCUCUGUGACGAACGCAACGAGGCGACCGCUCGGGCGACACCGUGUGGGAUCGGUCGCUCCACUCCCCGCAGGAUCGCGCAGACCCAACAAAAGCCGGCGGCGCAAGGGCGCAAACGAGAAGGGAAGCGCGGGAACGGGAGAAGGGAAGCGCGCGAACCAGGGCAGUGGAGGCGCCACGCAUGAAUAAGAGGAGAAGGCGGCGUACCCUCGUCCUCAGCCCACCGUCGACAUCAUCGAUUCGAGCUCUCCGUCCAAGAUGUUCUACAUAUAUGUGCAACAAAAGCGGGUUUCAUGUGCCAGGAAGUGUAGAGGAUGUGAGAGUUUUUGGAAUGAGAAGAAUCAAAGGAUACAACAACAAAUUCAGUCUAAAAUUUGCUUUUUGUGUUUACAAAUCUUUCCUUUAUGAGUAUUUGGAAACCCUAAGAUUAUUCUGUUACUAUGGGAUUUUGCAGUGUCAUGGACAAGACAUACUUGUUGACACUGUUUGCAUAUCAAGAGUGCUGAUUUUUGUUUGGAACUCAAGUUGUUUGAUAACUUUCAGUCUGUAUGCUUUUUGAUAGUGUUGAUUCAAAUGGAUGCUGGUAUUGUUUAAAUGUAGUGGAGUUUUCAUGUGUUGGAAAGGGGGUGAGAGAGAAAAAGUAAGAUAAUGACAUCAAAUAGAGUAGCUUCCAUUGGGCGAUAGUGGCAUACAACAAUAGCUUCAUUCAAAUUUAUCUAUGUGGAUGGCUGGGGCAGCACCAAGGUGUUGCCUUCAUUGUACAUGCCCUUAAAUCUUCCACAUGCAUGUGCUUGUCGGCAUGAUCAUGUAAUACACUGCAAUUUAAUCGUGUACACAUGUAAUCGUGUGCGCACUACUAGCGAUUGAUUUGCAUACAUAGUUUAGAUGUUGAGGUAAUAGCACCGCAGGUCCUUGAACUUGUCCUCCAUGUGAUGGUUAGGUCAUAAAACUUGCAAAAGCUGAUUAUUUUGUCCUAGAACUUGUCAUGGAGGUGCAAGUUUGGUCCUGGGCCAAUCACAGCUCGCCAAGUGGAGCCGGGUCAGCUAGGCCGUUCAAUGCCGCGCAUUUUGCAAUUUGCCCCCUGCCUAUAGCCCUUAUCAACCCGCAGUACACCACCUGAAUUAACAGUGUGGCUAUAUUCGUUCGGAAUCCGGUCGGCAGCACUCCCCCCUCCACUCACCUCUCUACUUGGUCGCUUCCCUUCCCCUGCUCGUCGUUGCCGCUGUCUAGCUCGCCGCCGCCAUACAACCCGCUGUCAUGGUAUCUUGGAGUGAAGGAUCCAGCUCGUCGUCGAACGACUACUCUCUCACAAGUGAGGCCUGCUCCUGCCACCAUUUUCUGCUAUGAAUGGAGAGGCCUUGCUCCAGAUCUUGCAGCUAGAUGUGAACACCAAUCUGUCUGUGAGAAGUUUGUGUCCUUUGAUUCAGUUGACAGUGGAAGGAGGUUCCUUGCUUGUGCACAAAAGGAAAUACCUAAAUGCACCUAUGUGGAGUGGGUUGACCCUGAAUGGCCUGCCACUCUGAAGAUGAGUCUAGCUAGGAUUUGGGGCAUGUAUGAAGAUGAGAACAAGCUAAGGCUCAGGCAGAAUGUAGUUAAUGCUAAAGAAACUUUAAGAUAUUGGGAGAGAAGGAAAAGAUGGAAAAAGAUCUGAGGUUUUUUAAACUAGAUUUUGCUAAGAUGGUGGCUGACAAGGAGCAGAAAAUUGUCCAAUUGGGCAGCACCCAACUUGCUCUUUCUGACCUAAAGCAAGAGCUUGAGAAGAAGAAGAUAUCUGAUAAAUCUACCACUAUCAUUCAUCAGGUGGUGAGGGCUAAGGCAGAGAAAGAGAGGGAUCAGAUGAUGCAAGAGAGGGACAAGUUGAUGCAAUAGAGGGACAAAUUGAAGGAAGAGAUGGACAAAGUGGUGUCACAGAGGGAUGAGUUGAAGAAGGAGAAGAAGAAACUAGAGUACAUGAUUGGUGAUUUAUUCAGGCAUAAGGAGGAGACCAAGAGCAAGAUAAGGAGGGUGAAGGAGAUCUUAGAUGAAUUUGAGUAAUUCAUUGUUGUUGUAAUGCCGCCUUAAGUUGGAGCUAUUAAUUAGUCAUACUUCUUUAUUGAACUUGGUUAAUUUGUAUGACAUAAUUAUCUGAUGCACUGAAUUUGUAUGACUGUUUUUAGUUAACUAAAUUUGUAUCACUAUUCUGAGUUAACUAAAUGUUCCAAAGUGUUAA